rnacentral:rRNA from 1 species
UACGUAGGCAGCAAGCGUUGUUCGGAGUUACUGGGCGUAAAGGGUGUGUAGGCGGUUCUUUAAGUUUGGUGUGAAAUCUCCAGGCUCAACCGGGAGGGUGCGCCGAAUACUGAGGGACUAGAGUGUGGGAGAGGAAAGUGGAAUUCCUGGUGUAGCGGUGAAAUGCGUAGAUAUCAGGAGGAACACCGGUGGUGUAGACGGCUUUCUGGACCAUAACUGACGCUGAGACACGAAAGCGUGGGUAGCAAACAGG